ensembl:lncRNA
AUGGCCAGUGAGAACACCGGAACCGAGGAGGAAACUGGAUCUGCUGCUGAAUCAAACGAGCACGACUACGCCCACACUGCAGACGGUACUCUACCCGAACCAGAGCCGCUCUCUUCCGGUCCUUCACCCGAAACCGAGCAACAGAGCGCACCAGUUCAGAUCUUCGCGCCUCUGUCGCAGGACCAUCCAGAACCGGCGGUGGGUGCAGAAGUGGACUGCCCCAGUGGAAACGAAGUGGCACCUCAUACCGGAGAUCUUGGUGCAGACGCGCUAUCCCCGUCCGGUCCGCGCCGAGGUCCGCGGCGGCCCAAACGGCCAGAGGACCAGAACUGUUCCUGCUGCAAGGUGGUGUUCCAGCGACAGGGACGCUCCUUCAACCGGAGGGCGGUGUACACCUUUACCACCCCGGAGACCGUUCGGUGGGUCUUCCCGGACUCUGUGGUGACCGACAGGUCGUUCCUAUGUGAAACCUGCGCCCAAAUCAUCAGAACCAGAGGAAAGCGCAAACAAAGCGGAAAGCGCUGCAUGUGGCUGAAACCCCCAAACAUCAAAAAGGUCAAAGACAAGCAGAUUUUGGGACGAAGGAUGGGAAAGAAGAGUAAAGCAGCACUGCUGGUUAGCAAGUCAAGCUACAAAGCUGCCUUUCAAACACUCUGGUCAUCCAAAGGUGCCCGGAAACCCAUGAUGGCGUUCUGGAGCAAACAGCUGAAAAACGAGAUGAAGACAUUGUCACGGCAACCAGACAGUCCCUUCCACCAGAAGGUGUCGGGCAGGAAGCCGCUGUCUUCCUUCCCCUGGCGACGAUGUCUGAACUGGGCCCAAGAAAAGGCUCCGCUUGUCAUUGCCUGUCUUCGCUCCAUGUUUCCAGACAUCAACGCCCUCUACAAAAGUAGCAACCAGCUGACGGAGGAGCAGGCCAUCACCCUGUUGGAGCGUCGGACUGUGGUGGCACUCUCCAUUCCACUCUUCACUAGAAACAUCUGGAGAAACAAUUUUCUGCAGGCUGCUCUGGGGGCGGAGCUACGGCUGCAGGGCUGUUCUGGCUCUGCCCUCGACACCCUCAACACCAUGGGGUUGUGCCAGAACAAAGACACUGUCAGGUUGCUCCUCCACAAGCUGCAAAAUGGCAAAGAUGUGGAUGGAGACCAGGGUCUGGUGAUGAAACGUGAGCAGAUGAAAGAGCAAAUGGGAGAAGUGAUGACAGAUGAAGAAGAGCAGGAGGAAGAGGAAACAGAAGAGGAAGAGGAUGAAGACGAAGAUGUGGAGGAAAUCGUGAUGACCAUGAAGGAGGACGAGCCGGUGGAACAGGAGGAAGUGCAGGACGUCCUUGAGGAUGAAGAUGAUCCACAUGUUACAGAACAAGAACAGAAGAGGAGAAAGAAAAAAGCAAAGAAGCAGAGAAAGGAAGAGAAGAGGAAGGAGAGAGGGAAACGAAAGGUGAGGGAGGAGCAGGAUGAUGAAGAUGCAUCAGAGCAGAAGAAGAAAAAGGUAGUGGUGGUGAGGCUCGGCCUGCUGAAGGGAACUUCAGAAGUAGGACGAUCUGACCUAUCAGCCCCUUAA